AGACGUAGGGGGCAAGCGUUGUCCGGAAUUACUGGGCGUAAAGGGUGCGUAGGCGGCAAUGCAAGUCUAAUGUGAAAUCCCCGUGCUUAACAUGGGGAUUGCAAUAGAAACUGUAUAGCUAGAGUGCAGGAGAGGUAAGUGGAAUUCCUAGUGUAGCGGUGAAAUGCAUAGAUAUUCGGAGGAACACCAGUGGCGAAGGCGGCUUACUGGUCCAUUACUGACGCUGAGGUGCGAAAGCGUGGGGAGC
rnacentral:rRNA from 1 species